rnacentral:rRNA from 1 species
AGUCGAACGAAGUGGCGAACGGGUGAGUAAUACGUGAGUAACUACCUUUAACUCUGGGAUAAGCCCGGGAAACUGGGUCUAAUACCGGAUAGUUAUAGAUGGGCUCACGGCCUAUCAGCUUGUUGGUGAGGUAACGGCUCACCAAGGCGACGACGGGUAGCCGGCCUGAGAGGGGACCGGCCACACUGGGCUGAGACACGGCCCAGACUCCUACGGGAGGCAGCAGUGGGGAAUAUUGCACAAUGGGCGCAAGCCUGAUGCAGCGACGCCGCGUGAGGGAUGACGGCCUUCGGGUCGUAAACCUCUGUUAGCAGGGAAGCGGUACCUGCAGAGAAAGCGCCGGCUAACUACGUGCCAGCAGCCGCGGUAAUACGUAGGGCGCGAGCGUUGUCGGGAAUUAUUGGGCGUAAAGAGCUUGUAGGCGGUUUGUCGCGUCUGCUGUGAAAGGCCGGGGCUUAACUCCUGUAUUGCAGUGGGUACGGGCAGACUAGAGUGCAGUAGGGGAGACUGGAAUUCCUGGUGUAGC